rnacentral:rRNA from 1 species
AGAACGAACGCUGGCGGCAGGCUUAACACAUGCAAGUCGAGCGCCUCGCAAGAGGAGCGGCAGACGGGUGAGUAACACGUGGGAACGUGCCCAAAGGUACGGAACAACUCCGGGAAACUGGAGCUAAUACCGUAUGUGCCCGAAAGGGGAAGAUUUAUCGCCUUUGGAUCGGCCCGCGUCUGAUUAGCUAGUUGGCGGGGUAAUGGCCCACCAAGGCGACGAUCAGUAGCUGGUCUGAGAGGAUGACCAGCCACAUUGGGACUGAGACACGGCCCAAACUCCUACGGGAGGCAGCAGUGGGGAAUAUUGGACAAUGGGCGCAAGCCUGAUCCAGCCAUGCCGCGUGAGUGAUGAAGGCCUUAGGGUUGUAAAGCUCUUUCGCCGAGGACGAUAAUGACGGUACUCGGAUAGAAGCCCCGGCUAACUUCGUGCCAGCAGCCGC